CCAAUAGCGUAUAUUAAAGUUGUUGCAGUUAAAAAGCUCGUAGUUGAAUUUCGGGGUUAGUAGGUUGGUCAUGCCUCUGGUAUGUACUGGUCUCACUGAUUCCUCCUUCCUGAUGAACCGUAAUGCCAUUAAUUUGGUGUUGCGGGGAAUUUGGACUGUUACUUUGAAAAAAUUAGAGUGUUUAAAGCAAGCUAACGCUAGAAUACAUUAGCAUGGAAUAAUGAAAUAGGACGUUCGAUCCUAUUUUGUUGGUUUCUAGGAUUGACGUAAUGAUUAAUAGGGAUAGUUGGGGGCAUUAGUAUUCAAUUGUCAGAGGUGAAAUUCUUGGAUUUAUUGAAGACUAACUACUGCGAAAGCAUUUGCCAAGGAUGUUUUCAUUAAUCAAGAACGAAAGUUAGGGGAUCGAAGACGAUCAGAUACCGUCGUAGUCUUAACCAUAAACUAUGCCGACUAGGGAUCGGAUGAUGUUAAUUUUUUAAUGACUCAUUCGGCGCCUUACG
rnacentral:rRNA from 1 species